UCGGGAAUUUUGGGCAAUGGGCGAAAGCCUGACCCAGCAACGCCGCGUGAAGGAUGAAGUCUCUCGGGAUGUAAACUUCGUAAGAAUAGGAAGAAUAAAUGACGGUACUAUUUGUAAGGUCCGGCUAACUACGUGCCAGCAGCCGCGGUAAUACGUAGGGACCAAGCGUUGUUCGGAUUUACUGGGCGUAAAGGGCGCGUAGGCGGCGUGGUAAGUCAUCUGUGAAAUCUCCGAGCUUAACUCGGAACGGUCAGAUGAUACUGCUGUGCUAGAGUACAGAAAGGGCAAUCGGAAUUCUUGGUGUAGCGGUGAAAUGCGUAGAUAUCAAGAGGAACACCUGAGGCGAAGGCGGGUUGCUAGGCUGAUACUGACGCUGAGGCGCGAAAGCUAGGGUAGCAAACGGGAUUAGAUACCCCUGUAGUCCCUGAGCGGGCUGGCAAGGCGCAU
rnacentral:rRNA from 1 species